rnacentral:lncRNA from 1 species
UUCUGAACUCCUGCAGCGAGGCAUGAGAUAUGAACCUCAUGAAAUGUGUGUGGAUUUAUAUAUAAGUAUACAAAUUUAUAAACAUAUAUCUAUAUCUUAGCACAUUUGGUGAUGUUUGUUUACUGGCCUGAUUCCUCAGAGGCAGACAUGAGUCAAGUUCAUCCUUGUCCCUCAAAGUGUCAAGCACGAGGCCCUCGAGAGGUCAUUUGAUGAAUGAAUGAAUGAAUGAAAUGUAAUAAUUGUAAAAAUGAUUGAAGGGAAGAAGCUGGCAGUACUAGCAUUCCUUUCUAAGAUGACUGCUGGGUUUUCACACCCUUGAGUGUGCCAGCUUGCUGACCGCCGCUGGCCGCCUCUACAGCUAGAGGCGUGAAUCAGAGAGUGUGCUCUUUUGUAUUCUUGCUUGUUUUCUGUCUUCUGCACAGGAAUGGGGGGGUUCCUUGAGGGUGGAGCCUUGGAUCUAAGCCUUCCUGCAUCCCCAGCCUACCCUGGACAUGAUACGGGGCAGGGGCCCCCCAAAAAUGUGUUGGAUGAAUAAACACCCUGUCCUGAAUCAUCGUUGAUUCAACGUGUCUUCAAAAACUCACUCCAUCCGUUGGAGUGUCCCAAAGACUUCAGUGAUGAUGGCAGAAUAGAUGCUUUCUUCACCAUGGAGACCUUCCAGAUCUGCCUCUCAGGCCAUCCACUUGGACUUCUUUGCACGAUGCCUGGUCACUUACCUUUUGGACAGAGGGAAGAUGCGACCAUUUCAGACAUGGAGCGUAUUUAAGGUAAUAAACACCAAAAUUGACUAUUUUGGAGACAACAUUUAAAGGCCAUGUUUCAGCCCAUCUUGGCUAAAUCCCGCCCAGAAACAGAUGCUCCUCAGCCUGUAGGCCCCUUCCUCAACAGGUGGGGUCGGAGAUAGGCUCUUCUGCCCACGACCACCCUCUCUGGAGCGUGUGCAGAGCCCAGAGGCCCCGAGCACCUGCUGUUGGGCUAUCCAGCUGUCAAUUUGCCCCCACCUCCUGGUGUUUGUUUAGUCUGGGGCCCAGG